GUCCACGUAGCUCAGCAGGAUAGAGCACAGGAUUCCUAAGGUAAAUUGGGGGUUGCGCCCGGAAACGACGCAAUCGAUCUGCUCAAAGUCGGGGAAAGCUUCGCUGGUCUUCCAGCAUGCCAAUCCCGAGCCAAGCUCCGGAGAAAUCCGGUGAAGGUGUAGAGACUGGAUGGGCAGCACCUAAAGGCCGCAAGGUCCACGGUGAAGGGACAGUCCAGACCACGAACGUUCUGCCUGAGAAUUGGUGGAACGGCGGCGAAAGCCGAAGCGGUAUGAAUCCUGGGGUCGGAGGUUCGAAUCCUCUCGUGGACACCA
rnacentral:tRNA from 1 species